GGUGCGUGUUUGGUGUCGCCAGGAGCAGGAGAAGAAAAGGCCUCCCCUCAUGUUUACAAAAUCAAGCAAAUUGAAGUUCUAAUCUUGGCCAUAACUCUUGCAUGUAAUGAAUUCUUGAUCAUCUAAGCCUACUAAAGCAUAAGGGAUUAAAGAAGAAAGCUCAAGUCAUUCCGGAACGCAAACAAACCACGACAAAGGUAAAGCUACUUGAUGGAUGGCAUAUUUGGACCGAACACACUUGUGAUGCACGCUUCCGCGAAGUUGCUAGUCGUGGUCUAAACUUUUGUUAAAUGUUUCUUUUGUUUAAAACGGGUCUUAUGUAAGUAACUUAAUCCGGUAGUUCUUAGAUCUUGAACUUGUAGUUAAAAUGGUAUGGGUUGUAAACUCUUUUUCUAACUAUUUCGUUAGUCAUGUUGAAGUAAAUGCAGAAUUUUAGUUAUGAA